GAUAAACGCUGGCGGCGUGCCUAAUACAUGCAAGUCGAGCGAACGGACGAGAAGCUUGCUUCUCUGAUGUUAGCGGCGGACGGGUGAGUAACACGUGGAUAACCUACCUAUAAGACUGGGAUAACUUCGGGAAACCGGAGCUAAUACCGGAUAAUAUUUUGAACCGCAUGGUUCAAAAGUGAAAGACGGUCUUGCUGUCACUUAUAGAUGGAUCCGCGCUGCAUUAGCUAGUUGGUAAGGUAACGGCUUACCAAGGCAACGAUGCAUAGCCGACCUGAGAGGGUGAUCGGCCACACUGGAACUGAGACACGGUCCAGACUCCUACGGGAGGCAGCAGUAGGGAAUCUUCCGCGAUGGGCGAAAGCCUGACGGAGCAACGCCGCGUGAGUGAUGAAGGUCUUCGGAUCGUAAAACUCUGUUAUUAGGGAAGAACAUAUGUGUAAGUAACUGUGCACAUCUUGACGGUACCUAAUCAGAAAGCCACGGCUAACUACGUGCCAGCAGCCGCGGUAAUACGUAGGUGGCAAGCGUUAUCCGGAAUUAUUGGGCGUAAAGCGCGCGUAGGCGGUUUUUUAGUCUGAUGUGAAAGCCCACGGCUCAACCGUGGAGGGUCAUUGGAAACUGGAAAACUUGAGUGCAGAAGAGGAAAGUGGAAUUCCAUGUGUAGCGGUGAAAUGCGCAGAGAUAUGGAGGAACACCAGUGGCGAAGGCGACUUUCUGGUCUGUAACUGACGCUGAUGUGCGAAAGCGUGGGGAUCAAACAGGAUUAGAUACCCUGGUAGUCCACGCCGUAAACGAUGAGUGCUAAGUGUUAGGGGGUUUCCGCCCCUUAGUGCUGCAGCUAACGCAUUAAGCACUCCGCCUGGGGAGUACGACCGCAAGGUUGAAACUCAAAGGAAUUGACGGGGACCCGCACAGGCGGUGGAGCAUGUGGUUUAAUUCGAAGCAACGCGAAGAACCUUACCAAAUCUUGACAUCCUUUGACAACUCUAGAGAUAGAGCCUUCCCCUUCGGGGGACAAAGUGACAGGUGGUGCAUGGUUGUCGUCAGCUCGUGUCGUGAGAUGUUGGGUUAAGUCCCGCAACGAGCGCAACCCUUAAGCUUAGUUGCCAUCAUUAAGUUGGGCACUCUAAGUUGACUGCCGGUGACAAACCGGAGGAAGGUGGGGAUGACGUCAAAUCAUCAUGCCCCUUAUGAUUUGGGCUACACACGUGCUACAAUGGACAAUACAAAGGGCAGCGAAACCGCGAGGUCAAGCAAAUCCCAUAAAGUUGUUCUCAGUUCGGAUUGUAGUCUGCAACUCGACUACAUGAAGCUGGAAUCGCUAGUAAUCGUAGAUCAGCAUGCUACGGUGAAUACGUUCCCGGGUCU
rnacentral:rRNA from 1 species